UGAAUACGAGACGCUAAGGCGUCGAAGUAGUGUAUGUCAUACUUCCAAGAAAAGCUUGCACUGUCAUAAGUAAAAAAUGCCUGUACCAUAACCGACACAGGUGGGUAGGUAGAGUAUACUAAGGGGCGCGAGAUAACUCUCUCUAAGGAACUCGGCAAAAUGACUCCGUAACUUCGGGAGAAGGAGUGCCUUAUUUAUAAGGUUGCAAUAACAAGAUCCAAGCAACUGUUUAUCAAAAACACAGGUCUCCGCUAAGUCGUAAGACGAUGUAUGGGGGCUGACGCCUGCCCAGUGCCAGAAGGUUAAAGAAGUUGGUUAGUGUAUGCGAAGCUGAUGACUGAAGCCCUGGUGAACGGCGGCCGUAACUAUAACGGUCCUAAGGUAGCGAAAUUCCUUGUCGGGUAAGUUCCGACCCGCACGAAAGGCGUAAUGAUUUGGAUACUGUCUCGGAGAGAGGCUCGGUGAAAUAGACUUGUCUGUGAAGAUGCGGACUACCUGCACCAGGACAGAAAGACCCUAUGAAGCUUUACUGUAACUUGAAAUUGGAAUUGGACUUUGCUUGCGCAGUAUAGGUGGGAAGCGUUGAAGAUAUUCUUGCGGGAGUAUUGGAGCUAUCAGUGAGAUACCACUCUUGUAAUGUUAGAUUUCUAACUUUGAACCAUAAUCUGGUCAAAGAACAGUUUCAGGUGGGCAGUUUGACUGGGCGGUCGCCUCCCAAAUGGUAACGGAGGCGUACAAAGGUUUCCUCUGAACGGAUAGAAAUCGUAUCUAGAGUGUAAAGGCAUAAGGAAGCUUGACUGUGAGACCUACAAGUCGAGCAGGGACGAAAGUCGGUCUUAGUGAUCUGACGGUACUGAGUGGAAAGGCCGUCACUCAACGGAUAAAAGUUACUCUAAGGAUAACAGGCUGAUCUCCCCCAAGAGUUCACAUCGACGCGAGGUUUGGCACCUCGAUGUCGGCUCAUCGCAUCCUGGGGCGGUAGUACGUCCCAAGGGUUGGGCUGUUCGCCCAUGAAAGCGGUACGCGAGCUGGGUUCAGAACGUCGUGAGACAGUUCGGUCCAUAUCCGGUGUAGGCGUUAGAAUAUUGAGAGGAGCCUUCUUUAGUACGAGAGGACCGAGAAGGACACACCGCUGGUGUACCAGUUAUCGUGCCAACGGUAAACGCUGGGUAGCUAUGUGUGGAGUGGAUAACCGCUGAAAGCAUCUAAGUGGGAAGCCCACCUCAAGAUGAGUAUUCUCAUC
rnacentral:rRNA from 1 species